UAUGCUACGUAUUAAUAGUGAAUAUAUUAAGUAUAUUGGGUUGUUUCUAUAUUUGUAUGUUCAUUUUCUCUUUUCGGAUGAUCAACCACACUGGGACUGAGACACAGCCCGGACUCCCACGGGGGGCAGCAGUAGGGAAUCUUGCACAAUGGGCGAAAGCCCAAUCCAGCAAUA
rnacentral:ncRNA from 1 species